rfam:Byssochlamys spectabilis No. 5 DNA, contig: PVAR5_00015_1.
GGUUCUGUAGUGUAGCGGUUAUCACUCCGGAUUCUGAUCAUAUCAGGAUCUUCCGGCAACCCCGGUUCGAUUCCGGGCAGGACCU